GUGCCAGCAGCCGCGGUAAUACCGGCAGCUCGAGUGAUGUCCAAUUUUAUUGGGCCUAAAGCGUCCGUAGCUGGCUGUACAAGUUCGUCGGGAAAUCCACCUGCCCAACAGGUGGGCGUCCGGUAGAAACUGGCCGGCUUGGAACCGGAAGGCUCAGAGAGUACGUCCGGGGUAGGAGUGAAAUCCCGUAAUCCCGGACGGACUACCGAUGGCGAAAGCACUCUGAGAAGACGGCUUCGACAGUGAGGGACGAAAGCUCGGGUCUCAAACCGGAUUAGAUACCCCUGUAGUCC
rnacentral:rRNA from 1 species